GAUGAAGAACGCAGCGAAAUGCGAUAAGUAGUGUGAAUUGCAGAAUUCAGUGAAUCAUCGAAUCUUUGAACGCACAUUGCGCCCCUUGGUAUUCCAUGGGGCAUGCCUGUUCGAGCGUCAUUUGUACCUUCAAGCUUUGCUUGGUGUUGGGUGUUUGUCUCGCCUUUGCGUGUAGACUCGCCUUAAAAUAAUUGGCAGCCGGCGUAUUGAUUUCGGAGCGCAGUACAUCUCGCGCUUUGCACUCAUAACGACAGCGUCCAAAAGUACAUUUUACACUCUUGUCCUCGGAUCAGGUAGGGAUACCCGCUGAACUUAAGCAUAUCAAUAAGCGGAGGA
rnacentral:misc_RNA from 1 species